UCCAGACUCCUACGGGAGGCAGCAGUGGGGGAUAUUGCACAAUGGGGGGAACCCUGAUGCAGCGACGCCGCGUGGGUGAAGAAGUAUUUCGGUAUGUAAAGCCCUAUCGGCAGGGAAGAAAUUGGACGGUACCUGAGGAGGAAGCCACGGCUAACUACGUGCCAGCAGCCGCGGGAAUACGUAGGGGGCAAGCGUUGUCCGGAAUUACUGGGUGUAAAGGGAGCGUAGGCGGGACAGCAAGUCCAGUGUGAAAUCUAUCGGCUCAACCGAUAGCUGCGCUGGAAACUGUGGUUCUUGAGUGAAGUAGAGGCAGGCGGAAUUCCUAGUGUAGCGGUGAAAUGCGUAGAUAUUAGGAGGAACACCAGUGGCGAAGGCGGCCUGCUGGACGACAACUGACGGUGAGGCGCGAAAGCGUGGGGAGCAAACAGGAUUAGAUACCCUAGUA
rnacentral:rRNA from 1 species